ensembl:lncRNA
CAAGAUGGCAGCCUCCACAAGCGGGGUAUUUUGGCUUCAUUUUUGCACAAUGUUUCCCAGCAUGCCUCAGGGGUGGAGGUGUAUGAGGGGGGUGGAGUCUGUCCUGCUGCCCUGUCAGGUACCAGCUGAUGUUUCCAGGAGCUCCACAUCAGCAGUGUGGGACUGUGAGGAGUUCAGGAACCCAACAGUUCACCUGCGUCUACAGAGCAAUGACGAUCUUAGUGGUCAAAACGAUCGUUACACCAACCGAACAUCAAUGUUCACCGACGCUCUGCAGACUGGAGACCUCAGCCUCACUCUGAGGAACCCCACAGUCUCUGACAGUGGAACCUACUGCUGUAUCGCCCUCAGGUUUGGAGACAGGCUGAGCCAGACUGAAGUACAGCUGAAGGUCUCAGAACCUCCUCCAGUGUGGCCCAAAGUCCUCUCAGCUGUGCUGGUUACUCUGAUCAUCCUGGCUGCUGCCUUUGGUCUGUUUGUGUGCCGUGCAUAUGUAAGGAUGAAGAAGAGGAGUGAAGCUCUGCAACAAGAGGUGGUGGAGGCACCACAGGGGGAGGAGUCUGUCCUUCUACCCUUUAAACCCACAGCUGACCUUCCUCAGGACGUCACAGUGGAGUGGACACACAACAACAUGAAGGUCCACGUGUAUGAGAGUGGAAACAAUCAGCCAGAUAAACAGGACCAGAGUUACAGAGGUCGCACAGAGAUGAAGGAAGAUCCACUGAGAACUAAAGACCUCAGUCUGACCCUGAAACACCUCCACCUCACUGACAGUGGAGUCUACACCUGCACCGUCUACAAGGAUGGAGACAUGCUGACACAGAAAGUAGUGACUCUCAGUGUCAGAGCAACCCUGAUGGGCACCAUGGCUGAGAUGCUUCCACAUUGUCUGUGUUACAGGCAGUGGAGUGUACAGCGAGCACAGUCUGACCAGGAACACAGGAACAGGAACCAUGAAGACGUUCCUCUGAUGGAUCUCCACAGAGUGUCCUGACUCUGUGUCACAUGUUAGCUCCAUGUGGCUCAAAGGUCAAAGCUGCUGACUGUCAGGAAGCUUCAGACAAACAUCAUGAAACACCCCCUCUCCAAUCAGAGCAGGAAGGACCCAUGAUGGAGGCCCUGAGGCCACACCCACACUUCCUGUCAGUGCCUGUGAUUGACAGCUGCCUCCAUCAGUAUCGUAUAUAUCCAUAUAAAUCACCCUGAGGUCACUGAUGUUGUGAUGUUGGUGCUGUAUGAACCACAUUAAAUGUUUUUACA